rnacentral:rRNA from 1 species
CAGCAGCCGCGGGAAUACGAAGGGGGCUAGCGUUGCUCGGAAUGACUGGGCGUAAAGGGCGCGUAGGCGGUUUGAACAGUCAGAUGUGAAAUUCCUGGGCUCAACCUGGGGGCUGCAUUUGAUACGUUUAGACUAGAGUGGGGAAGAGGGUCGUGGAAUUCCCAGUGUAGAGGUGAAAUUCGUAGAUAUUGGGAAGAACACCGGUGGCGAAGGCGGCGACCUGGUCCUUGACUGACGCUGAGGCGCGAAAGCGUAGGGAGCAAACAGGAUUAGAUACCCCCGUAGUCCCUGUCUCUUAUAC